rnacentral:rRNA from 1 species
UACGUAGGGGGCAAGCGUUGUCCGGAUUCACUGGGCUUAAAGGGCGCGUAGGCGGCUUGCCAAGUCAGUGGUGAAAUCUUUCGGCUCAACCGGAAAAUGGCUGCUGAUACUGGCAGGCUGGAGGGAGGUAGGGGCAGAUGGAACUUCCGGUGGAGCGGUGAAAUGCGUAGAUAUCGGAAGGAACGCCGGUGGCGAAAGCGAUCUGCUGGACCUCUUCUGACGCUGAUGCGCGAAAGCCAGGGGAGCAAACGGG